rnacentral:rRNA from 1 species
GAUGAACGCUGGCGGCGUGCCUAAUACAUGCAAGUCGAGCGAACGGACGAGAAGCUUGCUUCUCUGAUGUUAGCGGCGGACGGGUGAGUAACACGUGGAUAACCUACCUAUAAGACUGGGAUAACUUCGGGAAACCGGAGCUAAUACCGGAUAAUAUUUUGAACCGCAUGGUUCAAAAGUGAAAGACGGUCUUGCUGUCACUUAUAGAUGGAUCCGCGCUGCAUUAGCUAGUUGGCAAGGUAACGGCUUACCAAGGCAACGAUGCAUAGCCGACCUGAGAGGGUGAUCGGCCACACUGGAACUGAGACACGGUCCAGACUCCUACGGGAGGCAGCAGUAGGGAAUCUUCCGCAAAGGGCGAAAGCCUGACGGAGCAACGCCGCGUGAGUGAUGAAGGUCUUCGGAUCGUAAAACUCUGUUAUUAGGGAAGAACAUAUGUGUAAGUAACUGUGCACAUCUUGACGGUACCUAAUCAGAAAGCCACGGCUAACUACGUG